GUUUCAAAGACAUUCAUCUUUAUUCUAGCUUCAAGAUACAAGUAUCAGAAUUCAUUGUUCAUUACAAAAUCAAAGAGAAUGCUUGGAAUUUCAAAGUGCAAAUCGGAAAAGCUUUGUUUCAUCAAUAUUUUCAAGCUCAUUACAAGAUUCAAAUACAAAGUGUUACAUGAAAUUUCUAAGUUUCUAAAGUCUAAGCCAAAAUCCAACUUCUUGUUACCUUCAUGCUACAAUUAUUCUUCGUGCCCUUAUGUCUUGGAAUAUCACUCCAUACUCAAUUUGCAUCCAACUUUUGCCUUGUACCAAAGCUGCCCAAUUUCCAGCCCCUGCAUAAAUGGAAAAACUGUCAAAUUCUGA